AUGUUUUCCCACAUUUUGGUAAUGGCCGCAUAAUUUUCCACUUGGAAUUAUUCCUGCCCACCUCUCCUGUCCCCCAAUGCUCUUUUUUCAAUACCUCUGGGAGAGGCAUGUCAUCUGGUUCUGGUCAAGCAGAAUGAUCUUUGACCACACGGACUGCCUCAUUCUGCCAGACUGAAAGCUGGUGGAACUCCGGCUGUCGAUCCUGAAGCCAUCAUAUGGACAGAGCUGCCUAGGAGGGAAGCUAACCAAAGGGAAGAGACGGAAUAGUGAUGCCAGCAUUUGUGAGCCUGUAGUCAGUCACUGUCCCCCCACAAUGUGCAUGAGUAAAUUCACCUUUAGAAAUUCAAAUGUGAGAAAGAAGCUCCCCUUCAGAUGAUAUUUAGUAUGUGAAAUGACUGAAUUUUAUUAAAAAUUUACAUCCUCAGACCUCUUCAGUAGCCUCAACUUGUGAACAGAUAGAACAAAAAUAGAAAUCAUCACAGUCACUUAAACUUUAAAUGGCACAGUAAGUAUCUGAAAUUAUUUGGAUACAAAAAUUAAGUUUGUUGGACAUUUCAAUGCCAUUAUCAAGUCUUAAUCUUAUUUCAUUGU